UACGGAGGGAGCUAGCGUUGUUCGGAAAUACUGGGCGUAAAGCGCACGUAGGCGGCUACAUAAGUCAGGGGUGAAAUCCCGGGGCUCAACCUCGGAACUGCCUUUGAAACUGUAUAGCUAGAAUCCUGGAGAGGCGAGUGGAAUUCCGAGUGUAGAGGUGAAAUUCGUAGAUAUUCGGAAGAACACCAGUGGCGAAGGCGACUCGCUGGACAGGUAUUGACGCUGAGGUGCGAAAGCGUGGGGAGCAAACAGG
rnacentral:rRNA from 1 species